rnacentral:tRNA from 1 species
AGUAGCUCAAUUGGUCAGAGCGCCCGCCUCAUACGCGGGAGGUUGAGAGUUCAAGUCUCUCCUUAGCUACCA